AUUUACGUCUAAGACGAAACUGCUCUGACUUGGAAGAUUUCAAGAUGCAAGCAAAAGAACUACGCUCAAUGUUCAGGUCAAAGGGAUACCCUAAUAAGUGCCUGAAGAGGGCAUACCACAGAGCCCUCCUAACUGAGCAAGAAAGUCUUCUGAGGGAACAUAUGAUUCCCCCGACUUUACCAAAGGAAGCAGUACAGACACAAAUUAGAUGCAUUGCAACUUUCGAUGCUGGAUGGGACCAAGUAAAAGCAAUUAUGAAUCGGUUCUGGCCUCUCUUAAAACAGGAUGCACAAUUAAGGGAUAUACUUCCAUCAUACGCAUCCCUAACAGCAAGAAGAGGCCAAAACCUAAGAUAUGUUGGUGCAUAGCCAUUUUCAAUCUAAC